rnacentral:lncRNA from 13 species
CUUUCCCCUCCAAGAUCCAUUAUAACUUUGGAAAUGUGGUGAAAUGUGUCUUAUUGAACUCCAUUAAAGACUAAAUCUGGGGCCGAAUGCGGUGGCUCAAACCUGUAAUCCCAGCACUUUGGGAGGCCGAGAUGUGGCAAAUUCAUCCCAUCUCUGCUGCAGCUAUGAGUCUCAGAGAAACCACAGGCAGAUACCUGGUACAAUCAUCAGACUCAGCCGUCAUGAACCCAUGCCUGAGGAGACCAGAGGCAGAGGAACCCUGUAGGGAAAAACAGAAAAAGUCUCUACUUCAUCCUCUGAAGGUUUGCUGAAGAUGAACUGACAAUAGGCAGAAGGGCAUACAAAG